rnacentral:rRNA from 1 species
UACAGAGGGUGCGAGCGUUAAUCGGAAUUACUGGGCGUAAAGCGUGUGUAGGUGGCUGCGAAAGUCGGAUGUGAAAGCCCUGGGCUCAACUCAGGAAGUGCACCCGAUACUGCGUAGCUCGAGUACCGGAGAGGUUGGUAGAAUUCUCGGUGUAGAGGUGAAAUUCGUAGAUAUCGAGAGGAAUACCUGUGGCGAAGGCGGCCAACUGGACGAGUACUGACACUGAGACACGAAAGCGUGGGGAGCAAACAGG